AACGAACGCUGGCGGCAUGCCUAACACAUGCAAGUCGAACGAGACCUUCGGGUCUAGUGGCGCACGGGUGCGUAACGCGGGGGAACCUGCCCUUAGGUUCGGAAUAACUCCCCGAAAGGGGUGCUAAUACCGGUUAAUGUCUUCGGACCAAAGAUCUAUCGCCUUUGGAUGGGCCCGCGUUGGAUUAGCCAGUUGGUAGGGUAAAAGCCGACCAAGGCGACGAUCCAUAGCUGGUCUGAGAGGAUGAUCAGCCACACUGGGAAUGAGACACGGCCCAGACUCCUACGGGAGGCAGCAGUGGGGAAUAUUGGACAAGGGGCGAAAGCCUGAUCCAGCAAUGCCGCGUGAGUGAUGAAGGCCUUAGGGUUGUAAAGCUCUUUUACCCGGGAUGAUAAUGACAGUACCGGGAGAAUAAGCACCGGCUAACUCCGUG
rnacentral:rRNA from 1 species